GACGAACGCUGGCGGCGUGCUUAACACAUGCAAGUCGAACGGAAAGGCCCUGCUUUUGUGGGGUGCUCGAGUGGCGAACGGGUGAGUAACACGUGAGUAACCUGCCCUUGACUUUGGGAUAACUUCAGGAAACUGGGGCUAAUACCGGAUAGGAGCUCCUGCUGCAUGGUGGGGGUUGGAAAGUUUCGGCGGUUGGGGAUGGACUCGCGGCUUAUCAGCUUGUUGGUGGGGUAGUGGCUUACCAAGGCUUUGACGGGUAGCCGGCCUGAGAGGGUGACCGGCCACAUGGGGACUGAGAGACGGCCCAGACUCCUACGGGAGGCAGCGGGGGGGAAUAUGGCACAAGGGGCGGAAGCCUGAUGCAGCAACGCCGCGUGCGGGAUGACGGCCUUCGGGUGGUAAACCGCUUUCGCCUGUGACGAAGCGUGAGGGACGGUAAUGGGUAAAGAAGCACCGGCUAACUACGU
rnacentral:rRNA from 1 species